rnacentral:rRNA from 1 species
CCUACGGGUGGCAGCAGUGGGGGAUAUUGCACAAUGGAGGGAACUCUGAUGCAGCGACGCCGCGUGAGGGAAGAAGGUUUUCGGAUUGUAAACCUCUGUCUUCGGUGACGAAACGAGACGGUAGCCGAGGAGGAAGUCACGGCUAACUACGUGCGAGCAGCCGCGGUAAUACGUAGGUGGCAAGGGUUGUCGGGAAUUACGGGGUGAAACGGGAGCGUAGGCGGGAAAGCAAGUUGAAUGUUUAAGGUACGGGCUCAACCUGUACAAGCGUUCAAAACUGUUUUUCUUGAGUAGAGUAGAGGUAGGCGGAAUUCCUAGUGUAGCGGUGAAAUGCGUAAAUAUUAGGAAGAACACCGGUGGCGAAGGCGGCUUACUGGGCUGUAACUGACGCUGAGGCUCGAAAGCGUGGGUAGCAAACAGGAUUAGAUACCCGAGUAGUC